CGGGGCCUGCGGGAAAGUCCUGAGGGCUGGCGCUCCGGCCCGCUCGGCUGUGGUGACGCCCCCGGAAGGAGUGACAGCUGCACCCUGCGGACCUCGGCGAUGGGUGAACACGCCCCGCCAGUGCCCUCGAGACUGCAGCGGGACUAGGGGAGCCCAGGCGCGAGCACUCGCGCGCCUGCCACCUACUGCGGCCUGCGAGGGACCGGGAGGUAGAGAGGAGGCGACACUGACCGCGCCGCCCGCCUAGGUGUCGCAGCUGUUCGGUCUCCUGAGGGCGGAGCGUACAGAGCCGGACUGGCUGAGAGUGGGGUCCCCCGGAUCUCGGCGCUGCUGCCUGUGGCUGCUCUGAGUCGGGGCGGGGAGGCCCCACUAGAGGGGCGCGCGCUGCCGCCUGGGGGCGCACCGGUCCCGCCGCGGGGGAGGGGCAGCGCGGGCCGGGCCGACCCGGAGCCAGGCGCUAGCUCUGGGGUCCUGGUGUCCUGCUGUCUCCCCUAAAUCCUCCCUCUUCCGCAGUCCCCUGCGUGACCUUAGGCGUGUGCUGUGGCUCGUUCUAUUUCCGGUUUCUACUCUGAAAGAAGACGGGGGCACACAGGGAGCUGGCACGUGUGAAGGGCUCAGCACCCCACUUGCCGGCAGUAAGGACUUGGAAAAUGUGGCUGCAGGAGUUGCUUUUUUUUUUUUUUUUUUUUUUUUUUGAGAUAGGGUCUUGCUCCGUAGUCCUGGCUGGCCUUGACUUACUAUGGAGCCCAGGCCACCUGCGUCAGCCUCCCAAAUGCUGAGGUUACAGACAUGAGCCACCACACCCAGCAGGGAUUUCCUCUAACCCGCACAAUUUUAUGUCUAAGGCUUCAAGUAUUGGAGGUUCAAAAAUAUUCAACAGAAAAUCUGGUUUCAAAUCACCCAUUGGACCGGGGGUUUAGCUCAGUGGCAUAAGCGCCUGCCUGGCAAGGACAAGGUCGUGAGUUCGAUCGCUGGUACCAAAAAAAAAGAAUCCUCCCACUGGAGCAGUGCGGUGAGGCCUCCAGGAACCCAGCCGGUGUCUCUCAUCAGAUACUUUGAGAGACACGGCAUUUACACAGCUCUUCUCGUGGGAUAUUGUUAUAAUUUCAUCAUGACUGUUGUCAGACCUUUACUGCACCUAAUAUCUAAAAUAAACUUCAUCAUAAGCAUGCGUAGGAAAGAGUUUGUACUGCCGAAGGCCCAGCACUCUCCGAACUUUUUGUUUUGUUUUGCCUUUGGUUGUGCCUUUGCUGGGACGGGGUUUUUAUGUAGUUCAGGUCCUCUGAGUCCACUGUGACCCUCCUGCCUCAGCCUCCCAGGUGGUGGAAUUACAGGCGUGUGAUGCCAUGCCUGGCCCCUGGGGAAUCCUGCAGUUAAGGGGAGACCACACUGUUCAUUCCAGUUUUACAGAAAAGGAAAGCGGGACUCCAGGGUUUCAGGAGUGAGCCCCAAAUCACACAGACAAGUGACAGCAUCGAGGCUGGUCCCCAUCAAGCCCACUCUUUCUAGUUCUGCUUUCUUGCAUCCUGCGAAGCCAAACAAGGUUUUCCCCAUGCGGGGACCCAGGUGUCUCCCUGGGUGACUGCAAGCAGGUCGGGCUGUCUCUCACCUGGUUCGGGGCCCAGAUCUUUCAGGUCUGCUGUCCCAGCCGACCCUAGCUGGGGCCACGUCCCCGCCAAAGCCUGGGCUCCACGGAGGGCCACCCGGUCCCCUGCUUGCACAGCUGGCUGGACAAUGCCAACUCCUUUGAUAGGCUCAUUCCCUUCCUCCCACAAGGUGGGGCAGGGACUAGGGGACCAGGGCAGGGGGUGGCUGGUGUGGACCCCCCUCUGACCCUGCCUCUUCAUCUAGAUCUCCACUAUGUUGCCCCGGAUUUCUUGGGUCACGGUCUGUCAACCCGCUAUAGCCCUGGCUUCCCGUUUCACCACCAGAACUUCGUGAGUGAGGCCCACAGAGUCACAGCAGUCUCGAGGACCCCGGGUGGACGUGUCACCCUCGUGGGCAGGACCUUCUCAUGGAGUGGAACUCACCUCCUGCCACCUUGCUGUCCUUAUCGACUCUCAAUGUGGCACCUUGCAGUGAACAGGGACCCCACCGGGUGCCCCCCCCCCCAUCUGCAGUCCCUGCUGCAGGCAGGGACCAUGCGCGACUACUCAAGACUCGGUAUGGAGGGGCUGGGGGUUUAGCUCAGUGGCAUAAGCGCCUGCCUUGCAAGCAGGCAGUCGUGAGUUCAAUCCCUGGUACCGAUAAAAACGAAAAUGACAAAAAAAAAAAAAAAAAAAGACUCGGUAUGGAACUCAGCAUCACGCACCCACCCCCGGGGCGCCGAGCCCCCCCCCUCCUGCUGCCACCCCGCCCACCAGCCCCGAUGCACUGCCUCCCCCCCAGGGGCUGAAAAACUGUGGCACAGGCGCUGUGCCACUGAGCAUGUGCUGCGUGUGGAGGCCUCGGUAAUGCCCCCGACUGUGGUCAGCCUUAAGGACAUGCUGCAGGGGUGCGUAUGGGGCACGAGGAGGGGUCGCUCCUUCCUAGACUCCCUCUGGGGCAAGCCCCUUGACCCCUAACCCCUGACCCCUGCCUCUUGCCGGCCACCGCUGUCCUAGGACUCCGAGGGGCCCGGAGCGCACACACUCUCAGUGGGUGGAAUGGGGGCCGCCUUGGUUACAUUUGUACCUCCUGGGGCUGGCAGUGUGCCCAGAACAGGACUCCCCACGUAUUUAUUAUCUAUAGAAAGGGAAACUCAGCAGGCACCGUAUGGGCUCUAAUCCUAGCUACUGAGGAGCAGAGGCAGGAGGAUCAAAAAUUCAAGCCCAGUUUGGGGAAUUGAGGAGGAACUUAUCUCAAAAAUAAAGAGGGGGCUGGGGAUUUAGCUCUGCUGCAUAAGUGCCUACCUUGCAAGCGUGUGGUCAUAAAUUUGAUUCCCGGUAUCAAUAAAAAUAUAAAUAAAUAAGUAAAGAAUCAAGCUGGGGGACGAGGUGUCUGGGGAGAUAGCCUGGCACUUCUCAGGUUCAAUUCCCAACACCUCAGACAUUUUAAAAAAUGAGGAGCUGGGCGAGGGGGUACAGGCCUGUAACCCCAGCACUCAUGAGGCUGAGGCAGGAGGACUGGCUCAAGUUCAGGUCCAACCUGGGCUCCAUAGUGAGUUCCGGAGCAGCCUGAACAGGGUAGUGAGGCCCUGUCUCAAAAAUAAAAAGGUAGGAACUCAUACAUAUGGACAGUCACACACAAGCCACUGCUGUAAACAUGCCACCACCUCCGCAGGACAUGGUGUUCUUCACCAGUGCCCUCCCCUCCUUUUGGUCUAAUUCCGGAGUCCCUCUGUGUCCCCCAGGUUUCAUGUGUGGGCAGCAUCUCCUGCAGAGAGGGGCCAUGCGGGUGGCCGGAGGUACAGGAUGUGGUCUGUGGCUGGGACAGGUGGGGUCGCCUCUCUCUCCCCUGGGGAUGCUAUCAAGGACCUGCAGGACCAGCCCUGGUGCUUGGUGCUGCUGAGAGGAGAAACUGAGGCUGGCAGUCCCAGGACUCAAGCGGGAUCGCACAGUGACUCCAUGUCUUGGACAGCUGCCCUCUGUGGGAAGCUUGGCCAGGUGUCUUGAGACUGAAGUUGGUGGCUGUCAUGGCCAUGUUCAGCCUCCUGGCCAUGUUCAGCCUGCAGGGACACUGCAAGGUCAUCCUAGGGGACCAGGUGACUUUGAGGAGGCUACAGGAGGGAGAAGUGGAGUUGGGGCACCGUGGCUUUGGGGUGGCCCUCUGCCCGCAGGGCCAAGACUUCUGGUGGCACCGUUCCAGGACACUGCUUGACAGCAGGAAGAACAGGCCAGGUAGACCGGGGCAGAGGGCAGGGUGUCCUGCAGAGGACCUUGGGGCCCCUGCUCCAAUUAGGGUGAAGGAAGCAGCUCUCCGGAGGUGACAUCAAAGCUGGAGGCAGCUUGGGGCUGGGGAUUUAGCUCAGUGCCAUAAGCGCCUGCCUUGCAAGCAGGCAGUUGUGAGUUCGACCCCUGGUACUGAUAAAAAAAAAGACAAAAAAAAAAAAAAAAAAGCUGGAGGCAGCUGGGCAUGGUGACACAUGCCUGUAAUCUCAGCCCUCGGGAGGCUGAGGCAGGAGGAUCGUCAUGAAUUGGAAGUCAGCCUGGGCUACACAGUGGGUUCGAGGCUAGUGUAGACUUUGUGGCGAGACCCUGUCUGAAAAACCCCAUGGAUGGCCAAGCCCCGGGCCUCAGAGAGGACUCGGCCUGCACUGGACCAGACACAUUCCCAGCUGGUCCUGGGAGGCCGAUCAGGCUGCGGUCAUGGCGUGGGUGACCACAGUGUGGGACAGUGUGACCGAGGAGGCAAUGAACCAGGAGGAGGGACCAGGCCUCCACCGCAGUGGUGGCUGUGGUCCUGUGGGACCCAGGUGUCACUCAGCAAGGCUCGCCGGGAAUCCCAGCCUGCAAGGUUCUGUCCCCAUCCAACCUGAAACAGAAAAUUAAAGUGGGGGCUGGGGAUUUAGCUCAGAGGCUUAAGUGCCUGCCUUGCAAGCGGGUGGUCAUGAGUUCAAUCCCCAGUACCGAUUAAAACAAAAAAGGAAGAAAGAAAAUUAAAGUGAUGGGGUGGGGGGAUGCAGCUGAGGGCAGGGACCCUGUUCCCCAUCACCCCUGGCAAUGAAAAAAAAGAAAAACGGAGGAACCCGAGUGGCCAUUUUCUGUUUGUCGGAGAUGAAGGCUCUGUAAUGUCAUCAGACUUUGCUCAGCCCGGCUGCAUGGGCCGUGGCCUAUGGGCAGAGUCCCAAGGUGGGCGUGCGGGCUGGCUGAGGACCUGAGAAACGAGCCCCAGGGCACAAAGGCUGGAGUCCCCUCCAGACAGGUGGCACCUGUCAUCACGCCAUCACGCCCUGUCCCCCUCAGGUCUGGUGCUGACCAGGGACCGGCGUGUGGCCUGGGGAGUGCUGAACCCCACACCUGGCCCCUCUCUGGGGAUGGACCCAGGCUAGCAGGGAGCACUCACCGGUCAGCUCCCGCCCAAGCCGUUUUUCUUUUUUUUGUUCUGGGGACUGAAUUCACUACCUUGCACUUGCUAGGCAGGUGCUUGUGCCACCCAGCUAAAUCCCAGCUCUUUUUUUUUUUUUUUUUUUGUCCUUUUGAGACAGGGUCUUUCUGCAGUUCAGGCUGGCCUUGGGUUCACUUUGUAGCCCAGGCAGGCUACAAACUUUGUAGCUCAAACUCAUAGUGAUCCUCCUGCCUCAGCCUCCCACAGUGCUGGGAUUACAGGCGUGAGCCCCCACACAUGGCCCCCACUUAUCCCCCUACUCAGCAGCCUCUUUUUGGUUUCCUGACAUUGCUGUCAUGCUCUUAAUGCUCUGCAGCUUGUUUUAGGGCUGAGGGUGGCCCCUGGGGUGCUGCCCAUGCCCCAGCUUCACUUCAAAUUCAUUUUUCUGUAUAAUGGCCUGACUUAUUGAUGGUGGCAGUUUUGUGGUAUGAGAUGCAAACCCAGAGCUCAUGUGUGCUUGAUUUGCACUGUGUCCUCUGGCUGCAACCUCAGUCCUGAUUAAUUUUUGCAGUACUGGGGACUGAAUUCAGGGAGCAAUGGGGUACAUCCCCAGCCCUUUUUAUUUUUUUAAGAAGGGUGUAAGUUGCGAUCCUCCUGCCUCAGCCUCCCGAGUACACUUUAUUUCACAGAGUCCACCAUGUCUGCACUUCGGCCCUUGCUGUCUCUGUGGCUUUGGAGUCAGGUCUCCAACGUUGCUGCCACGUCUGACACACUGGUUUUCCUGUGUUUUCUUCUGACUCCUGCUUUGGGGCUGCCAGUUAUGCUUAUAUAAAAGGCCCCGAUGCCAAGCUCACACAGGUGCAUCUGUGCAGAGAAGCCAGCAACAAACAGGGCUCGAGGUGUGCCCCUCAAGAGGCACAACCCGCCAGGGGACUGGAGAUCAGGACAGAUCUCCUCCUUGAAGAGGAACGUCGGGGGCAACUCAGUGGCCAGGAAUCAAGGUCGCACCCCAAGGCCACGUGUGAAAGGCCUUGUGAGCUGGACUCUGCUUAUACCACAGCUACUUCAGCAAGCGCCCAGGCCGGGGAGGGAGCCGCACACCUGGAAUGUUAGCACCCAGGAGGCUGCGCAGGAGGAUCAGGAUCGCCGCAAGGCCAGCCAGGGCUACAAAACCGAACCAUCUCCACAAACAAAGCAACAACAAGAAGACAGGUGAAGUUAAAUUAACAAUUUCAAUUUUUUUCUUUUGCCGUGCUGACGACAGACACCUACUGGGGAAGCCUCUGCCAGGCAGCCCGACAGUAGUAUUCUUCUGUCUUUAAGCCCAUGUGUUCAUCAUGUGUGCACUUUAAGACGUAAUGAACAAGCCAGGCUGUGGCACCCACUUGUAAUCCCAGUGGCCUGGAAGACUGAGGCAGGAAAAUCAUAAAUUCAAGCACUGGCCGGGCAACUUAGCAAGGCCAUCUGAAAGUCAAAACGAAACAAACCCUGGUGGCACAGCCCAGUGUGAAGGUCUCUGGUUGAAUCAAGUCAGCUGUACCACUUUUCCUAGUAAAGCGCUUCUGGGUGGCUUCAGGUGGCCGGUGUCCUUACCCUGUGGCGGUAGCCAGCAGAGGGCUCACCAGCCUGCAGUCCAAGCCAGUGUCUUCUCCUGGAACAGACCAGAGUCCCUGGCCAUGAGGCAUGGAGAGGCCUCAGGAGGUGGCGCACAGGCUGGGCUGGCAUCACCUUGGUUCUGUGUCUGCAGCCUGAGCUCUGCUUAGAUUUCCUCAGCAGGAAGCAGUUCGCUGCAGGCCUGUGUCCUGGCCAUCAAAUUGGACAGGAAGGGGGGCCAUCAAAUUGGACAGGAAGGGGUCACCUGUAAGAUCCUGCCAGGCAGGGAGAUGACCCACCAGCCAGUGGGCCUCGGGGAUCCGUUUCCCAGGGGGGCAAAACUAACAUGGGCUCAUAGAAGCUGCCCCUGCCCACCACGUCCUGGGCCCGAGUGGGGGUGGGGCGGGGCUGGAGAUGUGACUGUUAUAAGCUCAAAAAUCCAAAAUCUUUGCCCACAAUGUUUGUAUGUGAAUACCAAAGUCACCACUGUCUCACAGGGAACUCGAUACUAAGGAACUUUUCCAGAACGCCAGGAAAUUGAUUUCAUGGGCAUGGGAAACCAGGACUACAUGGACGUAUUUGCUGGUUCUGGGGGACACUUUCCCCGGAUGGGCUGAGGGAUACCUGACGAAGACCCAAUCAGCCUUGACUGUUGUCAAAAAGCUUUUAUGUGAAAUAAUUCCUAGAUCCGGCCUUCCCUUAUCUACAGGGUCGGACAAUGGCUCAGCUUUCAUAGCUCCCAUCACUAGAAAAGCUGCUCAGUUAUUACAGAUUGACUGGAAAUUUCACUGCGCCUGCCAUCCACAGUCCAGGUCAACUUGAAAGGGUGAAUGGACUUUAAGAGACGCUUAGUAAACUGGUUUUAGAGUCUGCUGAAAACUGGGUGCUUUCCUCCCUUUUGCCCUCCUGUGUGCAUGUUGUCCUCCGCGUAUAAAUGGAAUAACCCCUUCUGCGGCAGUCUGUGGGAGACCACACCCCUCGUCCCCACCUUGCUAGUACCCAUGUGGCAGAGACCGCUAACCACAGUUUAAGUCCCCGCAGGCUCUUCAGCCUGUGCUGACCUUCAGCCACCAACUCUCCCGAGACCACCAAGCCAAGCCACGUGCACCAGAGACCCCUCCGGCCACAAGCCCAGGAGAUCCAAUGCUACUUAAGCCCUGUUCCUGCAACUCUUCUCCUGGACCUCACUGGACCUCACUGGACCAGACUGGACACCACUGUCCUCAGCACCCCUACGGCAGUCACAGUAGCAGGAAAACCCACCUGGAUACAUGACUCACACAUCAAGGGUCUCCCUCCAGAUACCCAGGACACACAAGUAAGUGGACAGUCCCAAGAGCCCCUCAAAUCAUCAAAAUGCUCUUGAAAAUCCUCUUUGCUGGUCAUACACAGCUUGCCUUGUUAGCUAGCCAUAAUCUUUUUUUUAUGGGUACCGGGGAUCAAACUCAUGACCGUAUUGCAAGGCAGGCACUUACGCUGCUGAGCUAAAUCCCCAGCCCUUAGCCAUAAUCUUUCUUAGAAAAUGUUCAAAGUAAUAGAGCUUGUGUCUGAUCUGCUGCCUAUAACCCCGACUCCAGCUGCAUGCAAACUUCUGUCCUAACUCUGUUGUAAUAACUGAUGUCUCUGACGCUUGGAGUCCACACCUGGAAGUCCUGACAAGAUCUUGGUUUGCUUGUGCUUCAGGUUUAACUCCUGGCGUCAUGCUUGAUAUAUUUACUAGGCAUACUGAACCAUGUAUUGUUGCACAUGUAUUUCCCCAAGUUUACUGGUGUUCUGGCAGUAAUGGAAGACACUUAGAAUCCGACCUCUUUAGGACAGCUCCAGCAGUCCCCGUGUUAAUACCAGUGUUGAUGGGACUGGGUCUCUCUGGAGCCACAGCAUUGGGAGCUAAAGCUUAAUAAUUGGUGACCAAAACUACCAAGAACUAAGUGACCUAAUACACAAAGACCUGGCAACACUAGAACAUUCUGUACAAAAACUGGAAGAAUCCCUCGCAUCUCUGGCAGAAACGGUUCUCCCAAACCACAGGAGCCUGGACCUGCUGUCAGACAAAAGGUGGCUUAUGCGUCGCUUAGGACAGGCUGGCUGUUUUAUGCCAGUCACUCUGGAGUCACAGGAGACAGCGCAAACAAGCUUAGAAAAAGACUCCAUGAACGCGAGCAACAAUGACAGCUUGACCAAAACUGGGUCCAAAACUGUCCUGUCCCAGGGCUGACCACCCUACUCUCAGCUCUAACGGGACCAACUGUUUUCUUAUUUGCUUUAACCGUCAGACCAUGAAUUAUAAAGUGCCUUCUAAAUCACAUCCAGGACUGAUUUCAAGCCGUUAAAAGGUUUAUACUUAGACAAGAAGGAUAUAACCAGGCACCCACAUAUAAUUAUGCAAGAGUCAGAUUUGACUCAGUGACCAAAAGCAAUGGGGAAUGUUACAAGCUCAAAAACCCACAAUGUGCUGUUCUUAUUAUUUGUUCUCUUCCUGUAAAGCUUGUGUAAUUCCCAGUUAAGGUGCAACCUUGUAACAUACUCACCAUGUAACCCCUCCCUGCCUCUCUGGUUCCUGUAACUGCUUGUUCCGCCUCCCUGGUUCCUUUUAUGGGGACAAACUGAUCCCAAGACCCUGACCCCUCAGCUCCCUGCAGCAAUCCCCCCUUCCCCAGCUCCGGCCCACACUUCCCCACAUGCCAUCGGCGACAGUGUCUCUGUGGAGUUCAGCUAAUAAAGCGCUUUUUAAAAUUUUUUGGAGUUCAUCAUUUUUCUGCCCACAUCAGUGACCUGGGCCCGGCCUGCACUCCCGGAAUCCCUAGCAUUUAUUUCAUGGUCCCAGUUUACUUGUACACUGCUGGUGUCACCCCAAGGGACAUCUCUCGUGCUGACACCACCACCCCCCAUAGUGGGCAAACAUUACAUCCUGGGCCAUCACUAUGUCCAACAAAUCCCACCACGUGGCUGGUGUCAUCAAUCUUCUUGUCGCAGGCCUCCAUGAACGUGUCUACCUCGACUCUCAGGGCCUCAGGAGCGGUCAAGGGUGUCUGCAGCUUCCUGUGCAGCCAGCAGGGGUCCCCAGGCAGAAGUAGCCGGUCCUCUGCCCUGGGAUCUCAGGACCACCCAGACCUGCCAGCCUCCACCCGGACCCCCAGCCCCAGGCCAGGGAGGGGUCAGGCCUCACUGGUCUGAGACCAGACAGACAGCAGAAUCCGCUGGUGGAGCCAGGAGGACAUAACGUUCUGAGGUGAACAUCAGUGACUUCAGAAGGGGACAGAGAGCUGGCAGUGCUGGCACACAUCCAUAAGCCCAGUGCUCUGGGAAGCUGAGGCAGGAGGAUCUCAAAUUUAAACCCAGCAAGGACAGCUUAGCAAAAGUGUCUCAAAAUGUACUCACUUCCGCAGCAUAUACACUAAACAAGAGCGCCUCAAAAUAAAAGACUGAGGACAUAGCUCGGUGUGAACAGCCUGGGUUCAAGGCCCAGGACCUCAAAAAUGAAACAGAGGCAAGAGCCUGGGCCUGGGGAUGCAGGAGGAGGCAGGGGCUGUGGAGUUUCUGGAGCCCCUGCGCUGCCACCUGGAGG